CACGGGGGGAGCAAGCGUUGUUCGGAAUCACUGGGCGUAAAGGGCGUGUAGGCGGUCAGGUAAGUGGGAUGUGAAAUGCCCCGGCUCACCCGGGGACCGGCAUCCCAUACUGCUUGGCUUGAGUACGGGAGAGGAUGUGGGAAUUCCGAGUGUAGAGGUGAAAUUCGUAGAUAUUCGGAAGAACACCAGUGGCGAAGGCGGCUCACUGGACUGGUAUUGACGCUGAGGUGCGAAAGCGUGGGGAGCAAACAGG
rnacentral:rRNA from 1 species